UACGUAGGGGGCGAGCGUUGUCCGGAUUUAUUGGGCGUAAAGAGCUCGUAGGCGGCUUGGCAAGUCGGGUGUGAAACCUCCAGGCUCAACCUGGAGACGCCACUCGAUACUGCCAUGGCUAGAGUCCGGUAGGGGACCACGGAAUUCCUGGUGUAGCGGUGAAAUGCGCAGAUAUCAGGAGGAACACCGAUGGCGAAGGCAGUGUUCUGGGCCAGUACUGACGCUGAGGAGCGAAAGCGUGGGGAGCAAACAGG
rnacentral:rRNA from 1 species